AGCUCCAAUAGCGUAUAUUAAAGUUGUUGCAGUUAAAAGCUCGUAGUUGAACCUUGGGCCUGGCUGGCCGGUCUGCCUCACCGCAUGUACUGGUUCGGCCGGGUCUUUCCUCCUGGGGAUCCGCAUGCCCUUCACUGGGUGUGUUGGGGAACCAGGACUUUUACUUUGAAAAAAUUAGAGUGUUCAAAGCAGGCCUUUGCUCGAAUACAUUAGCAUGGAAUAAUAGAAUAGGACGUGCGGUCCUAUUUUGUUGGUUUCUAGGACCGCCGUAAUGAUUAAUAGGGAUAGUCGGGGGCAUCAGUAUUCAGUUGUCAGAGGUGAAAUUCUUGGAUUUACUGAAGACUAACUACUGCGAAAGCAUUUGCCAAGGAUGUUUUCAUUAAUCAGUGAACGAAAGUUAGGGGAUCGAAGACGAUCAGAUACCGUCGUAGUCUUAACCGUAAACUAUGCCGACCAAGGGGAUCGG
rnacentral:rRNA from 1 species